rnacentral:rRNA from 1 species
CUCGAGUGGCGAACGGGUGAGUAACACGUGGGUGAUCUGCCCUGCACUUUGGGAUAAGCCUGGGAAACUGGGUCUAAUACCGAAUAGGACCACGCGCUUCAUGGGGUGUGGUGGAAAGCUUUUGCGGUGUGGGAUGAGCCCGCGGCCUAUCAGCUUGUUGGUGGGGUAAUGGCCUACCAAGGCGACGACGGGUAGCCGGCCUGAGAGGGUGACCGGCCACACUGGGACUGAGAUACGGCCCAGACUCCUACGGGAGGCAGCAGUGGGGAAUAUUGCACAAUGGGCGCAAGCCUGAUGCAGCGACGCCGCGUGAGGGAUGACGGCCUUCGGGUUGUAAACCUCUUUCACUAGGGACGAAGCGCAAGUGACGGUAC